GACGAACGCUGGCGGCGCGCCUAACACAUGCAAGUCGAGCGGAGAUAUUUGAAGGAAGUUUUCGGAUGGAAUUUGGGUAUUUUAGCGGCGGACGGGUGAGUAACGCGUGAGUGACCUGCCUUCCACAGGGGGAUAACGUACCGAAAGGUACACUAAUACCGCAUGAGACCACAGCACUGCCUGGUGCAGGGGUCAAAGGAGCAAUCCGGUGGAAGAUGGACUCGCGUCCGAUUAGAUAGUUGGUGGGGUAACGGACUACCAAGUCAGCGGUCGGUAGCCGACCUGAGGGGGUGAUCGGCCACAUUGGAACUGAGAGACGGUCCAAACUCCUACGGGAGGCAGCAGUGGGGAAUAUUGGGCAAUGGGGGAAACCCUGACCCAGCGACGCCGCGUGAGGGAAGAAGGUUUUCGGAUUGUAAACCUCUGUUCUUGGUGAAGAGGGAAAGACGGUAGCCAAGGAGGAAGCCCCGGCUAACUACGUGCCAGCCGCCGCGGUAC
rnacentral:rRNA from 1 species